AUGAACGCUAGCGACAGGCCUAACACAUGCAAGUCGAGGGGCAGCACAAGGAGCAAUCUGAGGUGGCGACCGGCGCACGGGUGAGUAACACGUAUGCAACCUGCCUGUAAGCGGGGAAUAACCCGUUGAAAGACGGACUAAUACCGCAUAAUACUAAAUUACUGCAUGGUAAAUUUAUUUAAACAUUUAUGGCUUACAGAUGGGCAUGCGCAUGAUUAGCUAGUUGGAGAGGUAACGGCUCCCCAAGGCAACGAUCAUUAGGGGUCCUGAGAGGAAGGUCCCCCACACUGGUACUGAGACACGGACCAGACUCCUGCGGGAGGCAGCAGUGAGGAAUAUUGGUCAAUGGACGAGAGUCUGAACCAGCCAAGUCGCGUGCAGGAAGAAUGUUCCCUAUGGAUUGUAAACUGCUUUUGCGAGGGGAAUAAAGUGCAUCACGUGUGAUGUUUUGUAUGUACUCUGCGAAUAAGGAUCGGCUAACUCCGUGCCAGCCGCUGC
rnacentral:rRNA from 1 species